UCGAGAAUCUUCCGCAAUGGGCGAAAGCCUGACGGAGCGACACCGCGUGCAGGACGAAGGCCCUCGGGUUGUAAACUGCUGUCACGCUCUAGGAACCCCAUGCUGUUAACAGCGGCAUGGCUGACCAAGGCGAAAGGAAGUGGCGGCUAACUCUGUGCCAGCAGCCGCGGUAAGACAGAGGCCACGAACGUUGUUCGGAAUCACUGGGCAUAAAGUGCACGUAGGCGGCUAGGUCCGUCCAAUGUGAAAGCCCCCGGCUCAACCGGGGAAUUGCAUCGGAUACAGCCUGGCUUGAGGACGGUUGGGGUGAGUGGAACUCCUGGUGGAGCGGUGAAAUGCGUAGAUAUCAGGAGGAACACCGGUGGCGAAAGCGGCUCACUGGACCGUAACUGACGCUGAGGUGCGAAAGCUAGGGGAGCAAACGGGAUUAGAUACCCAAGUAGUCCCUGAGCGGGCUGGCAAGGCGCAU
rnacentral:rRNA from 1 species